UACGUAGGGGGCAAGCGUUGUCCGGAAUCAUUGGGCGUAAAGCGCGUGUAGGCGGCCAGAAAAGUCCGCUGUGAAAACUCGAGGCUCAACUUCGAGCUGUCGGUGGAAACUUUCUGGCUAGAGUCCGGAAGAGGAGAAUGGAAUUCCUGGUGUAGCGGUGAAAUGCGCAGAUAUCAGGAGGAACACCGAUGGCGAAGGCAGAUCUCUGGGCCGUAACUGACGCUGAGGAGCGAAAGCAUGGGGAGCGAACAGG
rnacentral:rRNA from 1 species